UCCCACCAGGCAGAUGGCUGUAACACACAGAGAUCAGCAGAUAUCCAGGGGUUAGUUAUAGUGUAGGUUAUAGGGGUUAGUUAUAGUGUAGGUUAUAGGGGUUAGUUAUAUGGUAGGUUAUAGGGGUUAGUUAUAGGGUAGGUUAUAGGGGUUAGUUAUAGUGUAGGUUAUAGGGGUUAGUUAUAGUGUAGGUUAUAGGGGUUAGUUAUAGUGUAGGUUAUAGGGGUUAGUUAUAGGGUAGGUUAUAGGGGUUAGUUAUAGGGUAGGUUAUAGGGGUUAGUUAUAGUGUAGGUUAUAGGGGUUAGUUAUAGUGUAGGUUAUAGGGGUUAGUUAUAUGGUAGGUUAUAGGGGUUAGUUAUAGGGUAGGUUAUAGGGGUUAGUUAUAGUGUAGGUUAUAGGGGUUAGUUAUAGUGUAGGUUAUAGGGGUUAGUUAUAGUGUAGGUUAUAGGGGUUAGUUAUAGUGUAGGUUAUAGGGGUUAGUUAUAGUGUAGGUUAUAGGGGUUAGUUAUAGGGUAGGUUAUAGGGGUUAGUUAUAGUGUAGGUUAUAGGGGUUAGUUAUAGGGUAGGUUAUAGGGGUUAGUUAUAGGGUAGGUUAUAGGGGUUAGUUAUAGGGUGGGUUAUAGGGGUUAGUUAUAGUGUAGGUUAUAGGGGUUAGUUAUAGUGUAGGUUAUAGGGGUUAGUUAUAGUGUAGGUUAUAGGGGUUAGUUAUAGGGUAGGUUAUAGGGGUUAGUUAUAGUGUAGGUUAUAGGGGUUAGUUAUAGUGUAGGUUAUAGGGGUUAGUUAUAGGGUAGGUUAUAGGGGUUAGUUAUAGUGUAGGUUAUAGGGGUUAGUUAUAGUGUAGGUUAUAGGGGUUAGUUAGAGUGUAGGUUAUAGGGGUUAGUUAUAGGGUAGGUUAUAGGGGUUAGUUAUAGGGUAGGUUAUAAUGGUUAAUUAUAGUGUAGGUUAUAGGGGUUAGAUAUAGUGUAGGUUAUAGGGGUUAGUUAUAGGGUAGGUUAUAGGGGUUAGUUAUAGUGGAGGUUAUAUGGGUUAGUUAUAGUGUAGGGGUUAAUUAUAGUGUAGGUUAUAGGGGUUAGUUAUAGGGUAGGUUAUAGUUGUUAGUUAUAGUGUAGGGGUUAGUUAUAGUUUAGGUUAUAGGGGUUAGAGACAGACAGAGAGAGAGGGCGAGAGAGAGAGAGAGAGAGAGAUAGAGAGAGAGAGACAGAGAGAGAGGGAGACAGAGAGUGAGAGACAGAGUGAGAGACAGAGAGUGAGAGACAGAGAGUGAGAGACAGAGUGAGAGACAGAGUGAGAGACAGAGAGAAAAAGAGAGACAGAGAGAAAAAGAGAGACAGAGAGAAAAAGAGAGACAGAGAUAGAUCUUUCUAUACUACGACGAUAGUUGGGUACGUAACGUGAUCGAAGCCCCUGAUCAGGAUUUGU